GCGGCGCUCGCGAAACCCGAAGACUUGCAGGGUAAGAACUGAAGCCACCAAAAGGCUUACUAUACCACACAACACCCAAGCCUUCCUUUGGGGCAUGGGGACAGUGGAUCUAUGGCUCCUCAGGGUGCCAACCAAUUGAAGAAGGAAGCCAGCUCCACUCAACAGCUUCUACAAAGGAAGGGCCACAGGAGAGGGGCUUCAGUGGUUCCAGGCAGCUGCUUCAUUCACAACAGAAUGGCCAUUUUCUCCAGCAUGGCCAACUAUCCCUAGUCUUUUUGUCAUGACAGCCUAGAAGGCAGAAGCUAGGGCCAAGGCGGCUGCUAAGGAAUUCCUACUCCUACUGGGGCCUAAUGUCAGGCUUUCCUUAUAUUGUGGAGUGGGCCCUGGAAGAUAGUUAGAGACCCUUCCUGCUGGGCACCCUGAAGAGGAGCAAGAGGAUCUGGUGAGCAAAAUGAAGCAAAAGUGCAGUGCUGGAGCUGACAGCCCUGUUCCCUACUGCACGCAGUUGGCUCAGGGCUGUCCCCCACUUUGGAGCUUCUUGCCACUCACGGGCUACCCUGCACACACUACUUACUGCCCAGGCCUGUCUGCCACCACAGUACCCUGUGCCUGAGACCUUUCCUGGCCUCUGCUGGAUCCCAGGCCUAGUAUCAUUCCUAGGGACUCCAGAGGCAAGUCCAGGCUAAUAUGCUCUGGGAAAACAAUGUACAAUGUACAUGUUUGCCUUUUGACGUAGAUAAAUGAUACCUGGAUCCCAGGUCUGGCUCUGGGGCAGGGGAGCUUCAGGCCUGGCUAUGGCAGAACACUGAAGGAGGUACUUUGGGUUUUCACAACCUCUUAAAUCAUCUCAGAGAGAGAGUGAACAACUUACUUUCACAUGCACAAGCUGCCGCUGGCUCUGUCACAAGAAGAUGGACUACAAGUAAUAAAAUCAAGAUGAAGUUCUGUGUACAUCUUUCCAGCUUACAAGAAUUGUAGAAAGUUGAAGAUGAAAGGGAUAUUAAAGAGCAUCUCAUUCUACCUCCUCAUUUUGCAGCUGUAAGAACCGAGGCCCAGGGAGGGGGACUGGGGAAGCCACCAUCACACAGCUGCUCCGUGGCAGGAGUUGUGCUAACUUUCUGUGGCUGUUGCCAUUACACCCAGCAUCUUUUGACUUUUGAAAACAGCGAAGGAGAAAUCAGUCCUCCCAGCAUCUUCACCUCCCACGACGUUUAUUGUUUCCAGCUGUUAAAAAUUGGCCCUUUAAAAAUGGGUCGUCUUGCCAGUCAUUGAGGGUCACCGCGGUGGGGAGUGCUGAUUUAGAGGGCGGCAGAACAGGGAGGUGAUUGGAGGCAUAAUUGCCAGUCUCCUCCUUGGCACCUGGGGAUUUCUGUCAUUCAAGUCUCAGGGUGUGUGCCCUCAGCAAAUACUAACCCACAGAGUCAAUUGCUAACUGCAGUCAUCUGUGCAUUUGCCCUCUGGGGAUGGAAAGCCAUAAGAAAUGCCAUUUCCUAAUCUAGUUGGCCUUGGAUGAGAAGAUGUUUUUGCCUAAUGGAAGCCUUUGGAGAGUGAAUAAUGUGAAUAAUGUGUAUUUAGGACCUACAGUGCUCCCCAGGAUGCUGUAAGGGACCUGGUUAUAAAGAAAAAAACCUCACUGAUGGUCUUGGCUUUGUCCUUGUCUGAGUUAAGUCCUUUUGGUUGGAAGUAAUCAACUUGAGCUGACGUAAGCAUUAAGGGACAUAGAAGAGUAUAGCAGUAUCUCAUGAAGUCCAAGGGCAGAUGGCCUCAAGGUAGCCCGAGAAGCUGCUAGGAACCUAGACAGUCCACCUUCUCCAGCUUUCUUCUCUGCUUCGUGUCUCCCUCUGCAAUCCACUUUCUUCUCUGUGAGUAGCUGGGCAGAGGAUAAUCCCUCAACAACUAUCACAUCUACAUCUUCUCUCCUAAAGAGAUUAGCCAAAGGUGAGUGGCUGUCCUCAGUCCAAUACCAGAUUCCUGGGAGAGGGAAUUUGGUUGUCCCAGCCUGGGUCAGGUGCACAGCUUGAUCCAAUCAGGUGUGCCCAGGAGAGGGUGCCCUGAGACAGGCACAUCUGGGGACACUCAUCCUCAUGAAUGACCGGACAGUUCUCCAGGAAAGAAGAGAGAAGAGUGGAGGUCAGACAUUUCAAAUGUAUAUUAUAGGCAUCAAAUUAGUUACUGAUACAGAAAAAUGGCAAUGUCUAAGUAGGGGGCUUGAGAAACAGUUCAAACACUGUAUAGAUUUUGAUUAUUUGCUUAACUUCCAGGAUGAUAAAUUGUCUAUUAUGGAGCUGUAUUUUUUUUUUGGAGACAGAGUCUUGCUGUUUGGCUGGAGUGCAGUGGCGUGAUCUCGGCUCACCACAACCUCCACCUCCAGGUUCAAGCAAUUCUCCUGCCUCAGCCUCCCGAGUAGCUGGGAUUACAGGUGCCCACCACCAGCCCUGGCUAAUUUUUGUAUUUUUAGUAGAAACGGGGUUUCACCAUGUUGGCCAGGCUGGUCUAGAACUCCUGACCUCAAGUGAUCCGCCCUUCUCGGCCUCCCAAAGUGCCAGGAUUACAGGCGUGAGCCACCAUGCCCAGGUGGAGCUGAAUUUUUUUUUUUUUUUUUGAGGUGGGAGGAUGGAGUCUCGCUUUUUCGCCCAGGCUGGAGUGCAAUGGCACGAUCUUGGCUCACUGCAACCUCCGCCUCCCAGGUCCAAGCAAUUCUUCUGCCUCAGCCUCCCCAGUAGCUGGGAUUACAGGCAUGUGCCACCACACCCGGGUAAUUUUUGUAUUUUUAGUAGAGACAAGGUUUCACCAUGUUGGCCAGGCUGGUCUCGAACUCCUGACCUCAAGUGAUCCACCCAUCGCAGCCUCCCAAAGUGCUAGGAUUACAGGCAUGAGCCACCGCGCCCAGCCAAUCUUUUUAUAUAGUAGAUUUCUUGCAAUGUAACCCCUAUCCUCUGGGCUUUGUGUAAAAAGUGCAUUCAGACAAUCUGAGGAGUGUCUUAAUUUUUUGUGUGACUAUCAUAUAUAUUUUCAUCCUGUUGAGGUGUGUUUGCUAGGUGGAUAUUGAACAUGAAAUCAAAGUAUAAUUUUAAACUUGUGUUGAAAUAUAUGUGUAUAAGCAUAUGUGCACAAUUACCUAUAUUGUCAAACACCCAACCUGCUUUCCAAAGGAUUUGAAGCAAGGUCUAAUAAAAACACAGAAAAAGUAUGGCCAAGAGCUGUAAACACCAAAAAAAGAAGUAAAGGGCAAGUCGCAAACAGACUGCAGUUGAGCAAAGCUGCAAAGGACUAUAAUACCAGGCCUGAAGUGGUUGCUAAAUGUAGCUCUGAGCUUUCUGACAUUCAAAGCCAAAAAUAGGUAUAUUUUAUUAUUUAAACAGUGUCUACUCUGAGGUCCUCAAAACUCUUUCAGGGGGCCCACAGAUCAAAACUAUUUUCAUAAUAACACCAAGACAUUGUUUGCAUCUUUCAUUGUCAUUCUCUUAGGAGUGUACAGUGGAGUUUUCCAGAAGGCAUAUGCCAUGUGCAUCACCACAGCUUAAAUGCAGAAACAGACAUGAGGAUCUAGCUGUGUCCUACUAAGCCAGACAUUCAGGACAUCUAAAAGUGUAAAACAAUGCCACUCUUCUCACUAACUUUUUUGUUUUGGAAAAUAUAUCUUUCAUAAAAUAUUGAUUAUGUUGAUA
rnacentral:lncRNA from 1 species